rnacentral:lncRNA from 1 species
UCAUGAAAGGUUUUAAACUUAGAGCUAUAUUGUUCCACAUUCUACAUGGUGGCCAAUUCAAUACAAAUAGAUGUUAAAGAUGCUGACCAGUGAAAUCACAGAAACGUGAGGGCUUCCACCUGUAAAUCUCACAGAGUAACUAUGUGAAUUACUCAGAAGCCUGUUCUCCUGACUAACUUGGAAGAUGAAGUUUUACCUGAUUCUCAAUUCUCAUUACUUCUGUUUCUAUUUUCCAACGUCAGCUAUAUUUGCACAUAACCCUUCCCGGUUCCUUUUUCUUUUUUUGAAAACUCUUGAGGAAAAGAAAAUGGCUUAUUGAAAAUGGAUAUGGUGUCAGAAUCCUAAUUUCUUCCAGAACAACCAGUCAAUCCUUUUAACAUGCUUACUGUAGUGAAUGUCCAGCAAUCCACAUCCCUUCAUAGUGAUAAAGAGAGUGACAAAUAGCAUUUUUCAUGGAAAUGACUAAGAAUAAUGGCUGGAGAAUAUUGAAACAAUAACACGAAGUCCCAUAAUAAUGCUGAACUACAAAGUUUAUGAAAUGUGAAACAAUGGGAAACUCAGCUUUACACUGACUAAAAUUUCAGAUCCAACAUCACAUUAUCUCCUCUACAAGGCAGUAAAGCAGUUCCAACUGCUCACUGAAUUAUUUCAAGGAAGUGGUACCAUCUUCCUGGUAUUGUCUGUUUGACCAUUAAAUUAGUUAACUCUUAGGACAAUAUUUCUCCUUCUACAUAAC